AAGCUCUUUUCAUUGCCUGUAUUAGUUAUUCCCUGGGCUCUCGGGCUGUUGUGGAGGAACCUGGGGGUGCAGCUUUAAAGCAAAAACGUCUCCGCGCUGGCCAGCAGCGAGUUCAGGUAAAAUCUUUCCAAAAAGGUUAAAGAACUUUGCAUCUUGGAGAUAGAGGAGGCAGGCUCCGGGAUCUUACAGGACUUGGAAUAAGAUGGUGACAAGGUCUUGUCCCAAAAGGUCAUUGCCAUGGGUGGCUGCCAGGCUGUGUCCUUCCACUCCAUCCAUCCACCUCCUGCUUCCAUUCAGGACAUACUGGGAAGGAACAGAGAGAGAGACAGGAGUUAUUUUUAGGCAGCAAACUGAGUUACGGCCUCGGGUUUGCUCCCUGUGCCCACAGGGAAACGUGUCCAGCAGCAGCAGCAGCAGCAGCAGCAGCAUUUGAACCCUCUGCAUUGCUGCACCCUGCAAAUGCUGCCCCUGAAUGUCAGGAGAGCAUUCCCAGGGCCUCUGGCUCAGCUCUGGGAUCACUCCCUGCACGGAGCAGGGGCAGGAAUCCGCUGGCAGAGGGGAAGGUCGGGGACACCUCAGCACUGGUGGCACCCGGAGCUGCCCGGGGAGAGGAGAGGCUUUAUCAGCUCCUGAACACUUUGGGAAUGUCCUGUUGGAUCCAACCAUCCCCUGGGGGUGUUCCCAAUCCGUGGGGCUGUUCCCACCCCCAAACACUGAGGGAUAAAUCAAACAGGGUCGUUACCUUUCCCUCUCAGCCAUGUCUUGUUUCUCUUCUGCCCUGUAAACACAAAUCACGUUUGGAAUCAACGCCCUGAGGUGAACAGUGGGAAGGAAGGGGAGAAUCCAGGGCCCUUCUGGGGUGAUGGGUGGACCUUGGAGAGGUCAGCAGUGGUCUCCAGUCCCUGGGACCCCCGGCCCUGGUGACCCUCGUGCUCCAGGAGCUGGGCUGGACAACUC